ensembl:lncRNA
CAUAUCAUUAUUCACAGCAGCCCAAAGGCGGAAGCAACCUAGUGACCAUCGAUGAACGAGUGGCUAAGCGAACUGUGGGCCGCCCACACAGGCCCACUCCACCGGAGAGAAACCCCUGCCAGACACCAGCCCCUUCCCCUGGACGAGAAGGCCUGUGGUCCCUCCCUGUGCUGACAUCAACUGCUCUGGAUUCCCUCGGAGACGCAGGGCUUUGGCACCUCCCAGCGGGGAGCUCCAAGACUGAGGGUAGCCUCAGGGAAGUCUUAUCUCCCUUCCUGUCUCCCUAGGGUCUUGGGCAGAAAGAGCCUCCCCGAGCCCCGAGCUCCGUGGCUGUGCCUCCAGGAGCGGCCCCAAGGCGCUGGACGUCCAGACCGAGAUGUGCGCUAAGUGGAAAACACACAGUGGGUGUCAGAGACGGCACCAAAAAAAGGUAAAAGGGGAUGUUUAAUCAUGUUUACAUUGGUUACGUGUUGAAAUUGCGUUGCAUAAAACAUGAUCAGAAUCCACUCCACCUGUUUCUCUUCACCCCCCCCUUUUAUUUAAGAUGCGGGGCUCCAUCCCACCAAACUGUGUUCGUGACCUGAGCCGAAAUCGAGAGUCGGACCCUGCACUGACUGCGCCACCCCGGCGCCCCUCUCUUCACCCUUCUAACGUGGCUGCAGGAAGGCUUAAAAUGCCAUCCACGGGCGGAAUCCUGUCGCUGUUGGGCGCUGGAGUUCUGGACCAUCCAUCGGUUCCAGGCUUCGGGAUUUCUGGGACAAGCAGGGUCCCCCAAGUCUGACUACCAGCCUUCCGCUUCGCUGAGCGAGCACCAUUGCACUGGGGAUGGGUGUUCUGACUCCAGAGAGAAGGAGGCCAUCGCCAGACUAGAGAGCCGAGAACCACUCCCCGCUGCCCCUGGAUUCGUUUCCUCGCUGCCCCGUGGGUGCCGGCCGGGCCCAAGGCAGGGGGGCUCUCCGAGGAGCCUCUCUUGUGAAUGCACACAGGUGUUUCCAGACCCACGCCAGAGGCUCCCUCACCGAGUUCCGGUAAAGGGUGUGGUGUGGGCACACGAGACUUUUCCUUGUGGCAACACGAAGCACUCUCAGACCAUCCACCUGACAUGGGACAGAGGACAGCAUCUUCCCGCGUCAUUACAUUGGCUCCAACGGUCGUAACAGCGGCUUCGCGUCCCUUGUCUGAUCGCCUGCGGUACUACUGAACUCAUGCUGGAACAUUCUGAAAGUUUUCUGAGGUCUUAAACACAAUCUUGGUAUACCUGCUGGGCCCGCUUGGGAGCAAAUGUGUGCCUCUUCCCCAAGCCCCCACUGCUGGCCCUGAGCCAGCCAAAUCACUGUCCCCACGGCCACUCUCAGCUUGUCGCAUCCCACACGCGCACUUACUCGUGAAGUUUCUCACCAAGUGCAUCUCUCCCCGUGGGAGUGUCGCAGAAGUCUGCCACUGUUACAACGGACCCGUAAGAGCACUGCAUGUCAAUAUAAAAACGUCCCCCUGGGGCGCCCGGCUGAGUCGCUGGAAUGUGCAACGCUUGAUCUCUAGGUCGUGAGUUUGAGCCCCACGUUGGGCGUAGAGAUGACUUAAUAAAAUAAAAUAAAUAAAUAAAAAACCUUUUCCU